rnacentral:rRNA from 1 species
UACAGAGGUCUCAAGCGUUGUUCGGAUUCAUUGGGCGUAAAGGGUGCGUAGGUGGCGCGGUAAGUCGGGUGUGAAAUCUCGGAGCUUAACUCCGAAAUUGCAUUCGAUACUGCCGUGCUCGAGGACUGGAGAGGAGACUGGAAUUCAUGGUGUAGCAGUGAAAUGCGUAGAAAUCAUGAGGAAGACCAGUGGCGAAGGCGGGUCUCUGGACAGUUCCUGACACUGAGGCACGAAGGCCAGGGGAGCAAAACGGG